AUUGAACGCUGGCGGCAUGCCUUACACAUGCAAGUCGAACGGUAACAGGUCUUCGGAUGCUGACGAGUGGCGAACGGGUGAGUAAUACAUCGGAACGUGCCUAGUAGUGGGGGAUAACUACUCGAAAGAGUGGCUAAUACCGCAUGAGAUCUACGGAUGAAAGCAGGGGAUCGCAAGACCUUGUGCUACUAGAGCGGCCGAUGGCAGAUUAGGUAGUUGGUGGGAUAAAAGCUUACCAAGCCGACGAUCUGUAGCUGGUCUGAGAAGACGAUCAGCCACACUGGGACCGGGGCACGGGCCCGCCGCCUACGGGGGGAAGCAGGGGGGAAUUUUGGACAAUGGGGGGAAGGCUGAUCCAGGAAUGCCGGGUGCAGGAAGAAGGGCUUCGGGGUGUAAACCGGUUUUGGACGGAACCAAAAGGCCCGGGUUAAUACCCCGGGGUCAUGACGGUACCGUAAGAAUAAGCACCGGCUAACUACGUGCCCGCAGCCGCCGUAA
rnacentral:rRNA from 1 species